GAUCUCUAGAAGUGGCUUCUCCAAACAUCCAUUUCAGACAUUGGCCCUUCUGGCGCAUUUCUUGUACACACAUCUGCGGCAAAGCGACCCACAUCACCGGUAGCAUUUCCUGCCCUCAAAUAUUGCCACAAAUGCACUUUAGAUUCGAAGGUGGAGAUAAUGAAAAGGCGAGUAGCUGAGGCAGUGACUCGCUUAAAAAAAAAAAAAAAAAAGUAGCCAAAUAAGGAAGUGGAUGAAUGGAAUAUUUAGCAAGACACCAGAAUGACUUUUCCAUCCACCUGCUGAGUGCCAGCUGUCACAAGUUUCUGGAAGAAGGCAAAGAUCAGCAUCACUGCGAAAAGGCUCUGAAGAACAAUGAAAAAAUGAGGAUGAAAUGUAAUAAUAAAAAACAUAAGAAUAAGUAGAAGUUUGAGAAGGACUUACCCAGCACUGGUUUAAAAAUGGAGUGGACCACAUGAGAAGAAAUGCAGUUGGUUCUAGGAGCAGAGAAUACCACCCCUCCCCUCCAGCUGACAGAGGGAAAAGAAACCUACAGCUGUAAGAAACUGAAUUCUUCCAACAAUGAAUGAGCUUGAGGAGGAUCCCAAGCCUCAGAACCACAGACCUGGCCAGCAAUAUGAUUUUAGUUAAGUGAG